CCUACGUGAGGCAGCAGUGGGGAAUAUUGGGCAAUGGGCGCAAGCCUGACCCAGCAACGCCGCGUGAAGGAAGAAGGCUUUCGGGUUGUAAACUUCUAUGAAGAGGGAAGAGCAGAAGACGGUACCUCUUGAAUAAGCCACGGCUAACUAAGUGCCAGCAGCCGCGGGAAUACGUAGGUGGCAAGCGUUGUCCGGAUGUACUGGGUGGAAAGGGCGUGCAGCCGGGAAGACAAGUCAGCUGUGAAAUCCCGCGGCUCAACCGCGGAACUGCAUUUGAAACUGUUGUUCUUGAGUACCGGAGAGGUCAGCGGAAUUCCUUGUGUAGCGGUGAAAUGCGUAGAUAUAAGGAAGAACACCAGUGGCGAAGGCGGAUGACUGGACGGCAACUGACGGUGAGGCGCGAAAGCGUGGGGAGCAAACAGGAUUAGAUACCCCAGUAGUC
rnacentral:rRNA from 1 species